rnacentral:rRNA from 1 species
CAGUAGCCGCGGGAAUACGUAGGGUGCAAGCGUUAAUCGGAAUUACUGGGCGUAAAGCGUGCGCAGGCGGUUAUAUAAGACAGAUGUGAAAUCCCCGGGCUCAACCUGGGAACUGCAUUUGUGACUGUAUAGCUAGAGUACGGCAGAGGGGGAUGGAAUUCCGCGUGUAGCAGUGAAAUGCGUAGAUAUGCGGAGGAACACCGAUGGCGAAGGCAAUCCCCUGGGCCUGUACUGACGCUCAUGCACGAAAGCGUGAGGAGCAAACAGGAUUAGAGACCCCAGUAGUCCCUGUCUCUUAUAC